rnacentral:lncRNA from 1 species
AUGCCGUCCGUCUCUCCGUGGGGUUCUCGAAAGGAGAUGGGCUGUCCUCAAGAAAAAGCCAAGCCCCUCCCGCCUCCUCCUCUUCUCCCCUCACCCCCUCGGGGCUCCAGUUCUGCCAGGCUUGGAGCAGCAGGGGAGUCGCAGCCUUCCUUUCCCUGCCUGCGGGUCCUGCCUCUUGCUCCGGGAGCCCGUGAAAUGCCAGGGGGAAGAAAUUCAAACCAAGAAGGAAAAAAAAAAAAAAAAAUCACCAAAGGACGUGGAGGAAAAUCAGAAGAGAGGAGGAUGCUGAAGGAAAAGGGAGCGCGCCGGGGACGGUGGAGUUGCCGUUGCCACUGCGGGCAAGCGCUCCCCUCGCCACUGGGCAGCGUGACUCAGAGGGGUUUCCAGUCGCUGGCAGCUCACAUGGAGGGACCGUGUUUGCGCGGAGCACGCAGCCCCGCCGCGGGCACACGCACGGCCUCAGCGCGGCGCGGCGCGGGCCAGCAUCUCCCCGCGCGGAGCUCGAGCACCAGCGGCCGCCGCAGCCGAGACUGGAGACGCCGCCGCCGCCGCCAGCAGCGCCUGCGGAGCCGGGCUGCGCGCGAGGCGGGGAAACCCUGCCUCCUCCUGCCCGCUCCAGUCCCCUCCUCGGCUCCUCCCUCUCCUCCUCCUUACCGCACCCCUCGGGCUGUCAGAACCCUUCUGCCCUGCCCUCGCCUCGUUUGGAAGCCGAAGGGAGAUGGACCCGACGGGCCCGGGUCCAUCAGCUGGGGCGGGGGCCGCGGAAGGAGACGCGCGCCUCUCCCCAGGCGGGAGGCGGUGCUGAAGUUAGGAAUUUGCAGUGUAAUCUUGGAACCCCGCUCCCACCCCGGCCGCCCCCCACCCAGAUGCAGGAAACCGAACCCCUCCGCUCGGAUGCCUUCUCUUUCCUUCUCUCCCCCCCUCAGAUAGAGAUGGUACAGGCUCCCGGAGCUCCGGCCCCCCGGGAACCACAAUCAGGCGUCCGAGAAGCAGGUCUUCCGAGUGGUCCUAACACCAAGGGACGGAGCCCAACAUCCCGACUGGAGCGGCGGGGACUGCAGAAGCCGCUAAUGCAGAUGUUUUCAAUGUGUAAUUAAUUCAUACUCGUACAUAUGCACACGUACACCAAACACACGUUGUUGCUGCCAGGAAAACUACAUUCAUGCAAACUGGCACACAAACAGACAUAAACACAAAACUGAAAUAAAUAAGCAGGCAUACGGACA